AGUGAACGCUGGCGGUAGGCCUAACACAUGCAAGUCGAACGGCAGCACAGUAAGAGCUUGCUCUUACGGGUGGCGAGUGGCGGACGGGUGAGGAAUACAUCGGAAUCUACUUUUUCGUGGGGGAUAACGUAGGGAAACUUACGCUAAUACCGCAUACGACCUACGGGUUAAAUCAUGGGAUCUUCGGACCUUGCGCGAUUGAAUGAGCCGAUGUCGGAUUAGCUAGUUGGCGGGGUAAAGGCCCACCAAGGCGACGAUCCGUAGCUGGUCUGAGAGGAUGAUCAGCCACACUGGAACUGAGACACGGUCCAGACUCCUACGGGAGGCAGCAGUGGGGAAUAUUGGACAAUGGGCGCAAGCCUGAUCCAGCCAUACCGCGUGGGUGAAGAAGGCCUUCGGGUUGUAAAGCCCUUUUGUUGGGAAAGAAAAGCAGCAGGUUAAUACCCCGCUGUUCUGACGGUACCCAAAGAAUAAGCACCGGCUAACCUCGUG
rnacentral:rRNA from 1 species